AACAGCAGCUGCUGAUGAACAAGAGGUCCAGGAUGAGCCAUGUAACUGAGGUGAUUCACUUGUUCACAACAACACACAGCUGCUGAAAAUACUACAAUCAGAAGACAUCAAAUGAGGUUCUGAGCAUUUUGAUGUAGUUGGAUUGAAAAAUGGAAAAAUACUUUACUGAUUCCCCAAACGACCAGUAAACUCAAAGUUGAAGUUUCCCUUAUUUGUCUAUUGGAAGAAAAACCAGCUCUGAUGACCCUGAUGCACCAACAAUCACAGAUGGCCUUGAGAAAUCGAAAACAAACCAUCCUGCUGAGGAUUCACAACAAUGUGUGAUGAGCCGCUGAAGCAAGACCGCUUCAGGAUGAUGGGUGAACUUCAGACUUCCUCAGCUAUUCUAACCACUUCGUCAAACCAGCAGAGUUCCCGAGCAAAUUAGAGGACACUUCUAACAGAUUUGCUGCUAUCUGGCCCUGAGCACACUGACUGGCCAUGAUACUGCGGCUAUCAGGACCUGAAAAUGGAGGGAUAUUCAGUGAGGCUGAGAACAUCGAAUGAUCAAGACAAAAAAAAAAAAAAAAAGGAAGAUGCUGAGAAAUAUAUCAUGUUUAUCCACUCACAA